GUCAUAUUAUCCUGGUAGCACAUAUCCUCAGCCAGCCUAUAGCCACUGCUUUGACUUCCCAAGGGAAAUAACACAAUAGUUCAGGCAAAAUUAUUUUAUUUACCUGAAUGUGAUAUGUUUCUCAAACCAUGUCAGACUUACCUGUUUGGUUGAGCAAGUCCCCAUAGAGGUAUAAGGUGCCUUUGGCCCCUAAUAAAUGAGACUAGAAAUGAAAUUAAAAGCCACUUCAUUGGCUUUGUCCACUUUUUUCCCCCCUCAAUUAUAUCCAAUUUUCAAUUAUCUGAUCUAGACCUUAGCACCCCAAUGCUGAAAAAAUUUCAGGAUAAAAGAUGGAAGAAAGAAAGGUCUCACCUAAACACCUGAACUUACAGGCCUAAGGUAAUCUUAGGCAUCCUUUCUUUGGGAAGCACUGCAAUUCUCAUUGGCUUUCUAAUUUCUUCCUCCUAAAUCAAAAGAGACUCUGAAAUCUUCUACUACCCACUGGUAGAGAAGGAAAAGAAGUCACCAUUGGUCUGAAUUCCAAAAAGGUUCCAUUGAACCCAAGGGCUCAGAAUGUUAACCCUUCCCUUUAUGAUGUGGCAAACUCUUCCAUAGCUCAGUGGUCCGAUAACAAUCCUUAGACCUACAUUAACCUAUGUCAGUGCCCCAUCCUGAGUGUGAAGUGGUGCAAGAGAGGAGAGAAGAGAGGACCUUGGGCCUAAUGAUAGCCAAGCACCUACCCUGUACAAUUGGCACAUAAAAGAACUACGACGGAAAUCCAGUUCAAGAUAAUAACCCAACAACCCAGCCAACUCAGGAACUAGAACACUGUCAAGAGGUUACUUCUACUCCAAAUCUACCUCCUUGCUUGGGUGCCCAACCCCCAGAGAUGCAAAACCUGGGAACAAAAUAAGAUACCUAUUCAAUCGCAAAGUGCUCCCUCUGCCUUGCUUUUCUGGGACCCCAAAACAUUCCUGUUGUGAAAACUGCAAGAAAAAACCCUGGCUCUGCCAAACAGAAUUCAACCAAGGACCUCAAGAUUCCUUGGCGCUUUUCUUCUGUUCACCCUUUGCGGCCACUGCCUCAGUGAGACAGUUGCUGAACCUUUUCAUGGUGUUUUUAGCCCAGAAAAGGAACAAAUUUGUGCUGGACUCUGUUCACAUCUUCAAGGAAGGAAUGCCCCUUGCUCAUCUUUGUUCCUCCAAUGCAAUCCUGAGCCAGGAUCAAAGGAAAUGUCCAGGUGUUUGAACAAACAAAUGAAUAAAUGUGGUUCCUAUUUUAUUUACAACUUUCUUUUUGUUCUAAAAAAGACAAAAACCUUCAAUCAAAUAAAUAAUUAUGCUGAGAGUAAUUAAGGCACAAAAGAUAUAGUUGACUGAUUUGAUAGAAGUUAGCCAAUUCCUAGCUGUCACUUGACUUCUGUUUACCAACUAAAUCAUGCCUGUCCUUCAGUCUAUGUUCAAGCCAAAUAUACCUCCACUAGCAUCCUCAAGUUACUUAAAUAGGACAUCAGAGCAAAAGGAUCACAAAAACUUGAUUAACUUCUUGAAUUGGACUUUCAAUGCUCCCUAUGGGUUGCUGAUGUAUUGCUUGGAUUUCUUUUUCUGAAACCAAAGCCCUCCAGGUAAAAUACAAUUGAAAUCAUGCUGUUAUGACUAGCAAUCCCUUUGUCUCUGAGAAGUCACCUAAAAAUGAGCACUGGACAGCAGCGCACAAAAAAGGCACAAGGGAGAUGACAAACAAUAUAAAUCAAAGGCAGAGCAGAUGGCAGGAG
rnacentral:lncRNA from 13 species